rnacentral:rRNA from 1 species
UAGGGAAUCUUCCACAAUGGACGCAAGUCUGAUGGAGCAACGCCGCGUGAGUGAAGAAGGUUUUCGGACCGUAAAGCUCUGUUGUUGGUGAAGAAGGAUAGAGGUAGUAACUGGCCUUUAUUUGACGGUAAUCAACCAGAAAGUCACGGCUAACUACGUGCCAGCAGCCGCGGUAAUACGUAGGUGGCAAGCGUUGUCCGGAUUUAUUGGGCGUAAAAGCGAGCGCAGGCGGAAGAAUAAGUCUGAUGUGAAAGCCCUCGGCUUAACCGAGGAAUUGCAUCGGAAACUGU